GUUACCCCGGAUGUACUAACGUCAUUUAAACUCGCCGAUGGCGGUAAACUUUCGUUCAUCAACAGAAGAGAGCAGACGCCGAUCAUAUUCCAGCUGUGGAGCACUGAGAGUGAGUGAGGCCUGAGCAAUGCGUCCAGCUGUGGUAACUGCUGUCUUGCUGUUGGUGAGCAUCCUGGACACUGUGACAGCCAAGCCUGAUUAUCCCAACUUUUGUAAACGUUUCUUAUUUCCGCCAUGUGGUGAGGGAGGGAGUCGCAUUGCUGUCGAUCGCUGCGUUACAUUCAUGAGGACUA